rnacentral:rRNA from 1 species
CCCUUAGAUGUUCUGGGCCGCACGCGCGCUACACUGAUGCGUUCAACAAGUUUCCUUGGCCGAGAGGCCUGGGCAAUCUUCUUAAUAUGUAUCGUGAUAGGGAUAGAUUAUUGCAAUUAUUAAUCUUGAACGAGGAAUUCCUAGUAAACGCAGAUCAUCAAUCUGCAUUGAUUACGUCCCCGCCCUUUGUACACACCGCCCGUCGCACCUACCGAUUGGAUGUUCCGGUGAAGCCUCGGGAUGAGGACUGGUGCCUUUAUUGGCAUGAGUUGUUCAGAACUUGUCUAAACCUUAUCAUCUAGAGGAAGGUGAAGUCGUAACA